UAGGGAAUCUUCGGCAAUGGACGAAAGUCUGACCGAGCAACGCCGCGUGAGUGAAGAAGGUUUUCGGACCGUAAAACUCUGUUGUUAGAGAAGAACAAGGACGUUAGUAACUGAACGUCCCCUGACGGUAUCUAACCAGAAAGCCACGGCUAACUACGUGCCAGCAGCCGCGGUAAUACGUAGGUGGCAAGCGUUGUCCGGAUUUAUUGGGCGUAAAGCGAGCGCAGGCGGUUUCUUAAGUCUGAUGUGAAAGCCCCCGGCUCAACCGGGGAGGGGCAUUGGAAACUGGGGGGCUUGAGUGCAGAAGAGGGGAGUGGAAUUCCAAGUGUAGCGGUGAAAUGCGUAGAUAUAUGGAGGAACACCGGUGGCGAAGGCGGCUAUCUGGUCUGUAACUGACGCUGAGGCGCGAAAGCGUGGGGAGCAAACAGG
rnacentral:rRNA from 1 species